ensembl:lncRNA
UGAUCCCAUAGAGCCCAUAGGGAGCACAGAGCCCCAUUGAUCCUAUAGAGCCCAUAGGGACCACAGAGCCCCAUUGACCCCAUAUAACCCAUAGGGACCACAGAGCCCCACUGAUCCUAUAGAUCCCAUAGGGAGCACAGAGCCCCAUUGAUCCCAUUGACCCAUAGGGAGCACAGAGCCCCAUUGAUCCUAUAGAGCCCAUAGGGACCACAGAGCCCCAUUGACCCCAUUGACCCAUAGGGACCUCAGAGCCCCACUGACCCCAUUGAUCCCAUAGGGACCACAGAGCCCCACUGACCCCAUUGAUCCCAUAGGGACCACAGAGCCCCACUGACCCCAUUGAGCCCAUAGGGACCACAGAGCCCCAUUGAUCCCAUUGACCCCAUAGAAACCACAGAGCCCCACUGAUCCUAUAGAUCCCAUUGGGUCCACAGAGCCCCAUUGACCCCAUUGACCCAUAGGGACCACAGAGCCCAUAGAGUCCCAUGGAGCCCCAUUGAGCCCAUAGGGACCCCAUAACUGCCCCAUAGUGACCUCAUAGAGCCGCAUAGUGACCCCAUAACUGUCCCAUAGAGACCCCAUAGAGCUCCACAGUGACCCCAUAGAGCCGCUUAGUGACCCCAUAACUGCCGCAUAGAGACCCCAUAACUGCCCCAUAGUGACCCCAUAGAGUUCAUAGUGAUGUCAUAACUGAUGCAUAGAGACCCCAUAACAGCCCCUUAGAGACCCCAUAGAGCUCCAUAGAGACCCCAUAACAGCCCCAUAUUGACCCCAUAGACCACCAUAGUGGCCCCAUAACAGCCCCAAUGUGACCCCAUAGAGCUCUGUAGUGACCCCAUAACAGCCCCAUAGUCACCCCAUAGAGCUCCAUAGUGACCCCAAAACAGCCCCAUAGUCACCCCAUAGAGCUCCAUACUGACCCCAUGACUGGGGUCACUAUGGGGCUGUUAUGGGGUCAUUAUGGGAUGUUAUGGGAUCAAUAUGAGGCAGCUAUGGGGUCACUAUGGGGUGGUUAUGGGGUCACUAUCAGGCAGUUAUAGGGUAACUAUGGGGCAGUUUUAGGGUCACUAUGGGGCUGUUAUGGGGUCACUAUGGGGCAGUUAUGGGGUCAUUCUGGAGCAGUUAUGGGGUCAUUAUGGGGCAGUUAUGGGGUCUUUAUGGGGCUGUUAUGGGGUCUCUAUGGGGCUGUUGUGGGGUCACUGUGGGGCUCUUAUGGGGUCACUAUGGGGCUGUUAUGGGGUCACAUUGGGGCAGUUAUAGGGUCACAAUGGGGCUGUUAUGGGGUCACUGUGGGGCUGUUAUGGGGUCACUAUGGGGCAGUUAUGGGGUCAUUCUGGAGCAGUUAUGGGGUCAUUCUGGGGCAGUUAUGGGGUC